rnacentral:rRNA from 1 species
AGCGAACGCUGGCGGCAUGCUUAACACAUGCAAGUCGCACGGGCAGCUUCGGCUGUCAGUGGCGGACGGGUGAGUAACGCGUAGGUAUCUAUCCUUGGGUGGGGGACAACUGUGGGAAACUACAGCUAAUACCGCAUGACGACUGAGGUCCAAAGCAGCGAUGCGCCUGGGGAGGAGCCUGCGUACGAUUAGCUAGUUGGUGGGGUAAAGGCCUACCAAGGCGACGAUCGUUAGCUGGUCUGAGAGGAUGAUCAGCCACAUUGGGACUGAGACACGG